AAGGAGUUUAAUAACUGAUAUGCCCUUGAUGUGAGGACUUUAUAUUAAAUGGAUUUUUAGAACUGGGAGAUGAGCUUGGAGCUUGCUCCACCCACUCCACACAUCAGCCUGGUACUGCAGUGCCUCCAGGAGAAAAAA
rnacentral:snRNA from 1 species